rnacentral:rRNA from 1 species
UGCCUAUUGAAUAAAAAUAAUGGGUAAUUUCUGCCCACUGCAAUUUUGUAAAGGGCUGCAGUAUUUUGACUGUAUAAAGGUAGCAUAAUCAUUAGCUUUUUAAUUGGGGGCUGGUAUGAAAGGGGAAACAUGGGAGCAGUGUGUUUAUGAAAAGAAUUGAAUUUUAUUGUUUUGUGAAAAAUCAGAAAUAAGUUUUAGGGACAAGAAGACCCUAUUUAAAUUUGAUGGUUGGUGUUAGAGAGCAUAAAGGAGGGUUGGUUUAUAAUUAAUAUUAGUGUUAUUUAAGAUUAACUAUUUUGCUGGGGCGGUAUGUUUAGAUACAAAAUUUUUAUUUUAAUGGGAUUUGUUGCGGAUAAGUGACCUGGUGUGAUCAAAUGAAUGGAAAAUUACUUUAGGGAUAACAGCGUUAUUAUUUUUGAGAGUUCAUAUCGACGAAGUAGUUUGCGACCUCGAUGUUGGAUUAGAAUUAGCGGUUGGUGCAAGAGU